UACGUAGGGGGCUAGCGUUGUCCGGAUUUAUUGGGCGUAAAGAGCGUGUAGGCGGCCAGGUAGGUCUGCUGUGAAAACUCGAGGCUUAACCUCGAGAUGUCGGCGGAAACCAUCUGGCUAGAGUGCGGUAGAGGAUGGUGGAAUUCCCGGUGUAGCGGUGAAAUGCGUAGAGAUCGGGAGGAACACCCGUGGCGAAGGCGGCCAUCUGGACCAGCACUGACGCUGAGACUCGAAAGCGUGGGGAGCAAAUAGG
rnacentral:rRNA from 1 species